AUCUACUAGUGAUGGAGCUGAGCAUGUUGAAGUAUGCACUGGGGAAGCAAACGAUUCGCCAUUUGAAGAAGAACUACAUGCAGUUGGUGAAGCUAUUUGUGAAUCCCAGUCUCAAUGGAACAGCAAAGACAGCAGUUACAAGACCUAACAGAUGAUGCGGAUCAAAUAUUAAAUAGCAUUGGGAAUAAAAGUACUCGCAAAUGUACUAAAUGCAAAGCUCCAAUGAAAGGACAUCCUCGAGGUCAAUGCUCCACUGAAAAAGAAUAAAUUGAAGUUGGUAGAUGAUAGGGUAGUGGUCAGACAUUGCUUGGAGCCUGUCUGGAAUGGAGAAGUAGGGCACCUCCUUCCCACCACCAGCCUGAGGAUUCACCUUAGGCAAGUGAUAGUACCCUCUAGCCUCCCUAUCUGGGCACUGAUAUACACACUUUUCCUGAUGAUUACAGUAUUAAUAUAACAUUGAAUGUUUAAUGCUCAACAUGCCCUUUGCGGAUGCAGUGCACUCAAGUGCGAAGACCUUAUAAGAUAAGUUCAUGUGGCUUGCUAUUUUCCAUUUUUACAUUUAUGCUAUGAUUUAAAUCCAUAUAAU